UAAAAGUGGUAUUGUAGGGAAUGUAGAGAACCACAGGAUAGAAAAGGAUGCACCUGUCUCGAAACAUCAAUGAUCCUUAAUAGUCACUUAAAACAUUGUGUUUAUAAUGAAAACCAAACAUCAAUAUACCAUGGUGUAGAAUGUUAAUUACAAAAAUGGAGAUUUCACAGAAAUUUUGAGCCUGCACUUGGAUACCACUGCAAAGCCCUUGGCUGGUUCACUUUGUGUUUUCUGUCAUUGGAACACUUAAGGUUAAUAGUCAGAGAAGGCCAGCUCUACACACUGUGUCGGUUACUGCAACUUUGGGACAAUGAUAAACAUAAUAAAUGUGAAUGCAUAUGACCAAGCCCUUUCCUAAAUUAGUAAAGACAGUGGUCAUGAGGCAGAAGUACUUACAAGUUACAACUGCAAGAUUAAUUGGAAUCUUCAGCCACCUUUGUGUCCUUCACUUUUGUUACAGUAAAAGAGUUGCAGGCAUCUCCUCCAUCUGUGCUCUGGCUCCUAUUCUCAUCCACCACUCUGCAGGCACCUUAUUCUAUUCAUUACCCUUCUUUGUCCCUGGCCAGGUUUCAACUCAGUAGCCCUGAGUUACAACUCUAGUUACAACUGUAAUUAUAGUUGUCUCUCUUCUCCUGCUCAAUCUAUUGCCUCAGCUUUACUAUCACCUCUCCACUCAAGGCACACCACUCUGGUAAAGGGGCCUCUAUUAACACAGUCAGUGAAUAUAUAUAUUUUUCCAGGACUUAUUUUUAUUUCUUUACAUGUGGUAAUAUUCACCACUCCUUUUUGAAAUGUUUUCCUCUCUUGCCUUCUGUGACACGGGUCUCCCUUGGGUUCUCUCCUGUCUUUCUCUGGCUACUCUUCCUUUUCACCCCAUAUGUUCGUCUUUCCCAGUUUUACCUUCAGCUUGCUCUUCCCUCUGUGCCAGUUAGACCAGUCUCAGAGAUCAUUUACCAUCACAAGGUGGUGACUUCCAGGUUUAACUCUUCUCUCUCCUGAGCUUCAGACCUGUUUUGAACAUUUCCAUCUGAAUACUCCAUAAGCAACUAGAACCUAGUAUUUGUCUAACUAAACUCAUUCCAUUCGUCUCCCUGGCCCUUCCUUAAACCUAUUCUUCUUCCUGUACUUCUUAUCUCAUUAUCAUCUCAAGAUAUUUAAGUGGCAGGUAUUCUUAGUUUUUCUUAUUUACCUAUUCGUAUCAAUUCUACCCCAUUAAUCCCUUUCUCUCCAGCUACUGUCAUGACCUUAGUCCAGGCCUUCAUAAUUUUCACGUCAGGGUUAUAGAACCAAACUUUUAAGUGGUCUCUGAGACCUGCCUCUAGUUUUGUUGCUCUUUAAGCCAUUAUUGAUACUGCCACCAGCAAUCCCCUAAAUGGUAAGCUGCUCAUGUCAUUCUCCUACUUAAAAAACUCUAAAAGCUUCCAACGGCCUUUGGGUUAAAACACAGGGCAUAUAAAGCCUUGUCUGCUCUGACCUCCUCCUGCCUCUCAAGCUUCCACUCUUGUCCUCUUUUCUCCACAACUCAAUAUCCCAGCCAUUCACAACUACAUGCAGCUGCUCGAGGUCAUGCUCUUUCCCCCCACUAGACCCUCAUAUACUGCUUCUUCUACCAGGCAAGCCUAUGAUGACUUGCUCCCCUUCCCUGGUUUGGUGCCUCCACACUAUCCUGAGUAUACAUCUAUUGCAGCACCUGUUACACUGAAUGGCUCAUCUAUCUUGCUUCUCGACUACAUUGAAAAUCUCACAGGUGUAAGAUUUGUGUUUUAUCAAAGAACCUGUUACAGAAGCUGGGAUUAGCAGACACUUAACACUUGUUGAACAAAUGAUUCCAUAGAUCAAGAGCAGAGAGGAAUCUUUUCAUAAUGGAAUAAAUUGUGGUUUAUAUACACAAUGGAAUACUACGUGGCAAUGAGAAAGAAUGAAAUAUGGCCUUUUGUAGCAACGUGGAUGGAACUGGAGAGUGUGAUGCUAAGUGAAAUAAGCCAUACAGAGAAAGACAGAUACCAUAUGGUUUCACUCUUAUGUGGAUCCUGAGAAACUUAACAGAAACCCAUGGGGGAGGGGAAGGAAAAAAAAAAAAAAGAGGUUAGAGUGGGAGAGAGCCAAAGCAUAA